UGAAUUCGUAGUCAUAUGCUUGUCUCAAAGAUUAAGCCAUGCAUGUCUAAGUAUAAGCAAUCUAUACGGUGAAACUGCGAAUGGCUCAUUAAAUCAGUUAUCGUUUAUUUGAUAGUACCUUUUUUACUUGGAUAACCGUGGUAAUUCUAGAGCUAAUACAUGCUAAAAACCCCGACUUCGGGAGGGGUGUAUUUAUUAGAUAAAAAACCAAUGCCCUUCGGGGCUCCUUGGUGAAUCAUGAUAACUUUACGAAUCGCAUGGCCUUGCGCCGGCGAUGGUUCAUUCAAAUUUCUGCCCUAUCAACUUUCGAUGGUAGGAUAGUGGCCUACCAUGGUUUCAACGGGUAACGGGGAAUUAGGGUUCUAUUCCGGAGAGGGAGCCUGAGAAACGGCUACCACAUCCAAGGAAGGCAGCAGGCGCGCAAAUUACCCAAUCCCAAUACGGGGAGGUAGUGACAAUAAAUACUGAUACAGGGCUCUUUUGGGUCUUGUAAUUGGAAUGAGUACAAUCUAAAUCCCUUAACGAGGAACAAUUGGAGGGCAAGUCUGGUGCCAGCAGCCGCGGUAAUUCCAGCUCCAAUAGCGUAUAUUAAAGUUGUUGCAGUUAAAAAGCUCGUAGUUGAACCUUGGGCCUGGCUGGCCGGUCCGCCUCACCGCGUGCACUGGUCCGGCCGGGCCUUUCCUUCUGGGGAGCCGCAUGCCCUUCACUGGGCGUGUCGGGGAACCAGGACUUUUACUUUGAAAAAAUUAGAGUGUUCAAAGCAGGCCUAUGCUCGAAUACAUUAGCAUGGAAUAAUAGAAUAGGACGUCGCGGUUCUAUUUUGUUGGUUUCUAGGACCGCCGUAAUGAUUAAUAGGGAUAGUCGGGGGCAUCAGUAUUUAAUUGUCAGAGGUGAAAUUCUUGGAUUUAUUAAAGACUAACUACUGCGAAAGCAUUUGCCAAGGAUGUUUUCAUUAAUCAGUGAACGAAAGUUAGGGGAUCGAAGACGAUCAGAUACCGUCGUAGUCUUAACCAUAAACUAUGCCGACUAGGGAUCGGACGGUGUUAGCUUUAUGACCCGUUCGGCACCUUACGAGAAAUCAAAGUUUUUGGGUUCUGGGGGGAGU
rnacentral:rRNA from 2 species